GGAGAAGAUACGGGUUCGAUUCCCGCCGCUCGCC
rnacentral:tRNA from 2 species